rnacentral:tRNA from 3 species
GGGCGAUUAGCUCAGUGGUAGAGCGCUUCGUUGACAUCGAAGAGGUCAGAAGUUCGAUACUUCUAUCGCCCACAA